CCAAUUUAUCAUCUGAUCCACCGACAAGAAUGAAUUGAUCCAUAGUGAGUCGUCCAUUCCACCAUCGUCGGAUUGGGAUCAGCUGGGAUCAAUUCAACUCCCAUUCCCAAGCCCUUGAACCUUGUAUUUUACGGUAGAGGUCAGUUUCACUAAAUUGAAAUUUCAGUACUUAUUCAGAAUGAAUACUGAAAAUGCCAUAAUCACCGUAACAUGAUUGUUUCAGAACAUGGAAUUAUCAUCUGUGAUUUGAAAAAAAAAAAACAGAUGAAAAACAGCAACACAUGAAUUUUUAUUCAAAUGUAAGUCACACAAAGG